rnacentral:rRNA from 1 species
UUUCGCAAUGCCCGAAAGGGUGACGAAGCGACGCCGCGUGCGGGAAGAAGGCCUUCGGGUUGUAAACCGCUGUCGGGAGUUAAGAAAUGUAAGGAUGUUAAUAGCAUCUUUGCUUGACUAAGGCUCCGGAGGAAGCCACGGCUAACUCUGUGCCAGCAGCCGCGGUAAUACAGAGGCGGCAAGCGUUGUUCGGAAUUAUUGGGCGUAAAGAGCACGUAGGCGGCUACGUAAGUCGGUUGUGAAAGCCUUCCGCUCAACGGGAGAACAGCAUCCGAUACUGCAUGGCUUGAGUGCGGGAGGGGAGAGUGGAACUUCUGGUGGAGCGGUGAAAUGCGCAGAUAUCAGAAGGAACGCCGGCGGCGAAAGCGGCUCUCUGGCCCAUAACUGACGCUGAGUGUGCGAAAGCUAGGGGAGCAAACGGGAUUAGAUACCCCGGUAGUCCUAGCCGUAAACGAUGGGCACUAAGUAGAGGGGUUUUA